rnacentral:rRNA from 1 species
CCUACGGGAGGCAGCAGUGAGGAAUAUUGGUCAAUGGGAGAGAUCCUGAACCAGCCAAGCCGCGUGAGGGAAGACGGCCCUAUGUGUUGUAAACCUCUUUUGUCGGAGAACAAAACCCGGGACGUGUCCCGGACUGCGUGUAUCCGAAGAAAAAGCAUCGCCUAACUCCGUGCCAGCAGCCCCGGUAAUACGGAGGAAGCGGGCGUUCUCCGGGUUUAUUGGGUUUAAGGGUGCGUAGGCGGUACGUUAGGUCGGCGGUAAAAUUGCGGGGCUCAAACCUGUCGAGUCGUUGAAACUGGCAGACUUGAGUUGGCGAGAAGUACGCGGAAUGCGCGGUGUAGCGGUGAAAUGCAUAGAUAUCGGGCAGAACUCCGAUGGCGAAGGCAGCGUACCGGCGCCAGACUGACGCUGAGGCACGAAAGCGUGGGGAUCGAACAGGAUUAGAUACCCCAGUAGUC